UCCAAGGGGUCUAACACGUGUGCGAGUCAGGGGCUCACACGAAAGCCAUUGUGGCGCAAUGAAGGUGAAGGCUGAUGCACUGGCUGGCUGAGGUGGGAUCCUGAGGCCUCUCCAGUUUGCCAAGGGUGCACCACCGUCUGCUCUCGCCCACUGCACUGGGCAGGUGGAGCAUGAGCACUUGUGUUAGGCACCAAAAGAUGGUAAAUUAUGCCUGGGCAGGGCGAAGCGAGAGGAAACUCUGGUGGGGGUCUGUAGUGGUCCUGACGUGCAAAUCGGUCAUCUGAUCUGGGUAUAGGGGCAAAAGGCUAAUCCAACCAUCUAGUAGCUGGUUCCCUCUGAAGUUUUCCUAAGGAUAGCUGGCGCUCCCGCAAAAACCCCAUGCCACGCAGUUAUUUGGUAAAGCGAAUGAUUAGGGGUCUUGGAGUCGAAAUGAUCUCAACCAAUUCUCAAACUUUAAAUGGGUUAGAAGCCCAGCUCAAUGGCAUGGAGCCAGGUAUGGAAUGCGAGUGCCUAGCGGGCAACUUUUGGUAAGCAGAACUGCUGCUGUGGGAUGAACCAAAUGCCAUGUUAAGGUGCCUGAUGCUAAUGCCCAUUAGACCCCAGAAAAUGUGUUGGUUAAUAUAGACAGCAGGACGGUGGCCACGGAAGUCAGAAUCCGCUAAGGAGUGUUCAACAACAAAGAAUCAACUCGCCCUGAAAAGUGGAUGGUACUGAAACUUUGGGCCCAUACCCGGCCAUUGCCAGCAGUUCAGAGCGGAUGGGAGUGGUGAGGGUGGUUGCUCCCGCUGGAGCCCCGAGGAUGCUAUGCUGCUAUGAGUGGGAGGACCGCUGCGGUGAGCCUUGAAGCCUUGGGCGUGAGCCUGGGUGGAGCUGCCCCAGGUGCAGAUCUUGGUGGUAGUAGCAAAUAUUCAAAUGAGAACUUUGAAGGCUGAAGUGGAGAAGGGUUCCAGUUGAAGAUGGGUCACGGUCCCUAGAGAUAGGCGAGUGCCAUUCUGAAGGGAUGGAUGAUGACUUCCAUUGCCCUCAGCCAAUGGAAAGGGAGUCAAGUUCAGAUUUCUGAAUCCAGAGUGGGAGAGAUGGGCACCAUGAGGCAUUCAGGGAGGUAAUGGAAGUGAUCCUGGAGAAGGUGGUGGGAGCCCAGGGGAGAGUUCUUUUUGUGAAGAGCAGGGCGCCCUGUAGUGGAUUCACCCUUAGAGAGGGGUCUGUGCCUUGAAAAGAAUCGUAGUUCAUGCGGCACCUGGUGACCUCUCACAGGCCCUUGAAAAUCUGGGGGAGAGGGUGUAAAUCUCACACCAGGCUGUAACCAUAUCCACAGGUCUCCAAGGUAAACAGCCUCUGGCA
rnacentral:ncRNA from 1 species